rnacentral:rRNA from 1 species
GAUGAACGCUGGCGGCGUGCCUAAUACAUGCAAGUCGAGCGAACGGACGUGUAUCUUGUUUCUCUGAUGUUAGCGGCGGACGGGUGAGUACCACUUGGAUGACCUCCCUAUCUGACUGGGAUUGCUUCUAGACACCGGAGCUAAUACCGGAUAAUAUUAUGAACCCCAUGGUUCACUAGUGACAGAUUGUCUUGCUGUUACUUCUAUAUCUUUCCGCGCUGCAUUAGCUAGUUGGUAAGGUAACGGCUUACCAAGGCAACGAUGCAUAGCCGACCUGAGAGGGUGAUAGGCCACACUGGAACUGAGACACGGUCCAGACGCCGACGGGAGGCAGCAGUAGGGAAUCUUCCGCAAUGGGCGAAAGCCUGACGGAGCAACGCCGCGUGAGUGAUGAAGGUCUUCGGAUCGUAAAACUCUGUUAUUAGGGAAGAACAUAUGUGUAAGUAACUGUGCACAUCUUGACGGUACCUAAUCAGAAAGCCACGGCUAACUACGUG